CCACUGAGGUCUGAGGCACGGUGGUACCAGAGGAGAUGAAGGGGCUUUCAGCAUGAAGCUGGUCCCCUGUCGACAGCACGCUGAUUUUCCCGUUGGGCUCUAUCAGCAUGUCCACUGUGAGUGUUUUCCAGAGUGGAUUCUAUGAACACUGCGAGAGAUAUAGCUCUUCUUGUGCAGAAAAUCCUAUGGACUAUAGAAAGUUUAGUGUUCCUGGCCCAUAAAGGCCAGCAGUGCUCCAAAAACAUUGUAACAAACCCAGAAGUCUCUCUGCAUUCCCCAAGGCUCCCAAGGAAGGCCACUAUAUUAAAUUCCACGUGGAAAGGGAUCAUGCUGUAUUAUAUAUCUCUGCAUUCCAGAGCUGGGCACAGUGAAUGGCACAAAUUUGACACUCAAAGUUUGUUGAAUAAUCUGAACUGUCUCACAAACUGCCUUCACAAUUUAAUUGCCUUCAAAAUUACAAAAUAAAAUCUCCAAGAAUUCUUUCAACACUGAAAUUAUUAGGUUAAGCGUAAAGCCUUGUAUGAUAUGUG
rnacentral:lncRNA from 1 species